rnacentral:rRNA from 1 species
AUUGAACGCUGGCGGCAGGCUUAACACAUGCAAGUCGAGCGGAGAUGAGGUGCUUGCACCUUAUCUUAGCGGCGGACGGGUGAGUAAUGCUUAGGAAUCUGCCUAUUAGUGGGGGACAACAUUCCGAAAGGAAUGCUAAUACCGCACACGUCCUACGGGAGAAAGCAGGGGAUCUUCGGACCUUGCGCUAAUAGAUGAGCCUAAGUCGGAUUAGCUAGUUGGUGGGGUAAAGGCCUACCAAGGCGACGAUCUGUAGCGGGUCUGAGAGGAUGAUCCGCCACACUGGGACUGAGACACGGCCCAGACUCCUACGGGAGGCAGCAGUGGGGAAUAUUGGACAAUGGGGGGAACCCUGAUCCAGCCAUGCCGCGUGUGUGAAGAAGGCCUUAUGGUUGUAAAGCACUUUAAGCGAGGAGGAGGCUACUGAGACUAAUACUCUUGGAUAGUGGACGUUACUCGCGGAAUAAGCACCGGCUAACUCUGUGCCAGCAGCCGCUGUAA